rnacentral:rRNA from 1 species
GAUGAACGCUAGCGGCAGGCUUAAUACAUGCAAGUCGUGGGGCAGCAUGAGUAGCAAUACUUGAUGGCGACCGGCAAACGGGUGAGGAACACGUACACAACCUUCCUUCAAGCGGGGAAUAGCCCAGAGAAAUUUGGAUUAAUACCCCAUAAUAUAUUUGAUAAGGCAUCUUAUUAAUAUUAAAGCUUCGGCACUUGAUGAUGGGUGUGCGGCUGAUUAGAUAGUUGGCGGGUAACGGCCCACCAAGUCUACGAUCAGUAGCUGAUGUGAGAGCAUGAUCAGCCACACGGGCACUGAGACACGGGCCCGACUCCUACGGGAGGCAGCAGUAAGGAUAUUGGACAAUGGACGAAAGUCUGAUCCAGCCAUGCCGCGUGAAGGAUUAAGGUCCUCUGGAUUGUAAACUUCUUUAUAUGGGACGAAAAAAGGGCAUUCUUGUUCACUUGACGGUACCAUAUGAAUAAGCACCGGCUAAACUCCGUGCCAGC